AGAGUUUGAUUCUGGCUCAGAACGAACGCUGGCGGCGCGUUUUAAGCGUGCAAGUCGAGCGGCAAGGGCCUUCGGGCCCCUAGAGCGGCGGACGGGUGAGUAACACGUGGACAAUCUGCCCCCCGGCCGGGGAUAGCCCAGGGAAACCUGGAUUAAUACCGGAUGAGACGGGACCCGCGGAGGCGGGAUCCGGGAAAGGCGCUGCGGCGCCGCCGGGGGAUGAGUCUGCGUCCCAUUAGCUUGACGGCGGGGUAACGGCCCACCGUGGCGACGAUGGGUAGCCGGCCUGAGAGGGUGUACGGCCACAUUGGAACUGAGACACGGUCCAGACUCCUACGGGAGGCAGCAGCUAAGAAUCUUCCGCAAUGGGCGAAAGCCUGACGGAGCGACGCCGCGUGAACGAAGAAGGCCGUGAGGUUGUAAAGUUCUUUUCGGGAGGGGGAACAACCGUGGCAGGGAAUGGCCGCGGGAUGACGUGAAUCCCGGAAUAAGCCCCGGCUAACUACGUGCCAGCAGCCGCGGUAACACGUAGGGGGCGUGCGUUGUUCGGAAUCAUUGGGCGUAAAGGGCGUGCAGGCGGUCCUGCAAGUCCGGCGUGAAAGACCCCGGCCCAACCGGGGGGGCGCGCUGGAAACUGCAGGGCUUGAGUACAGGAGGGGAUGCCGGAAUUCCAGGUGUAGGGGUGAAAUCUGUAGAUAUCUGGAGGAACACCAAUGGCGAAGGCAGGCAUCUGGCCAUGUACUGACGCUGAGACGCGAAGGUGCGGGGAGCAAACAGGAUUAGAUACCCUGGUAGUC
rnacentral:rRNA from 1 species